UCACAGUCCAAGGGAAACAAAGAGAAUCGAGAAGCAAAAGAAGUCCGAACCCUCGUCCCGUUGCAGAGUGCGUUUAUGAAGUGUGGGGAGGCGGAGUGGACUCUUCCACAGAGAAAAACUUUCCCACGCAGUCAAGACAGCCCACUCCUUUGAUGACACUACUGAGCGAGAAAUCGAAAUCUGGCGUACAAUUUGUCGGAAACCAGUGACGGGACAAGGCGGAAAUUGCAACAUCUUCUAUUCAUUAACUUUAUGAAAAGUUUGCCCGAUGACUAGACUGCUCUGUGAUCACAUCUUUUCAGCCUUAAAAAAAUGUAAAACCUAUAAUUAUCUAAACUGAAGUUGAGUGAACUGAAAAUGUCAAAGCAACAAAGCAAUCCAAAUUAUAUUUAGAUAAAAUAAAAGUUGAAUUGCAUAAAUCUAAGUUACUUCAGUUACAACUUUAAGUAAAAGUUUAACAAAUAAUUAAUAGUUUACAGAACCAAUUGUUUUGUGCCCCAACUUAACAUUUCUAGUUAAAAUAACCUUUCAGUUUUGACGCAAACAUUUUGUUUUGUUGUGCUCACUAAUUGUUCCCAUAAAUGUUCCAACUAAAAGUACUAAUUCAGCUCACAUAAAAUACACAAUGUGUUUUUACAGUGAAGACUAAACUGUCCAUAGGUGUGGAUGCAA